rnacentral:rRNA from 1 species
CCUACGGGUGGCAGCAGUGGGGAAUAUUGCGCAAUGGGCGCAAGCCUGACGCAGCGACGCCGCGUGAGGGAUGAAGGUCUUCGGAUCGUAAACCUCUGUCAGCAGGGAAGAACGGUCACUGUGCUAAUCAGCAGUGAAUUGACGGUACCUGCAAAGGAAGCACCGGCUAACUCCGUGCCAGCAGCCGCGGUAAUACGGAGGGUGCGAGCGUUAAUCGGAAUUACUGGGCGUAAAGCGCUCGAAGGCGGUCUGUCAAGUCAAAGGUGAAAUCCCCGGGCUCAACGUGGGAACUGCCUUUGAAACUGGCAGGCUGGAGUGUGUGAGAGGAUAGUGGAAUUCCAGGUGUAGGAGUGAAAUGCGUAGAUAUCUGGAGGAACAUCGGUGGCGAAGGCGACUAUCUGGCACAUAACUGACGCUGAGGAGCGAAAGCGUGGGUAGCAAACAGGAUUAGAUACCCUUGUAGUC